rnacentral:rRNA from 1 species
GGCUACCAUGCAGUCGAGGGGCAGCAUGGUCUUAGCUUGCUAAGGCCGAUGGCGACCGGCGCACGGGUGAGUAACACGUAUCCAACCUGCCGUCUACUCUUGGACAGCCUUCUGAAAGGAAGAUUAAUACAAGAUGGCAUCAUGAGUCCACAUGUUCACAUGAUUAAAGGUAUUCCGGUAGACGAUGGGGAUGCGUUCCAUUAGAUAGUAGGCGGGGUAACGGCCCACCUAGUCUUCGAUGGAUAGGGGUUCUGAGAGGAAGGUCCCCCACAUUGGAACUGAGACACGGUCCAAACUCCUACGGGAGGCAGCAGUGAGGAAUAUUGGUCAAUGGGCGAGAGCCUGAACCAGCCAAGUAGCGUGAAGGAUGACUGCCCUAUGGGUUGUAAACUUCUUUUAUAAAGGAAUAAAGUCGGGUAUGCAUACCCGUUUGCAUGUACUUUAUGAAUAAGGAUCGGCUAACUCCGUGCCAGCAGCCGCGGUAAUACGGAGGAUCCGAGCGUUAUCCGGAUUUAUUGGGUUUAAAAGGGAGCGUAGAUGGAUGUUUUAAGUCAGUUGUGAAAGUUUGCGGCUCAACCCGUAAAAUUGCAGUUGAUACUGGAUAUCUUGAGUGCAGUUGAGGCAGGCGGAAUUCGUGGUGUAGCGGUGAAAUGCUUAGAUAUCACGAAGAACUCCGAUUGCGAAGGCAGCCUGCUAAGCUGCAACUGACAUUGAGGCUCGAAAGUGUGGGUAUCAAACAGGAUUAGAUACCCUGGUAGUCCACACGGUAAACGAUGAAUACUCGCUGUUUGCGAUAUACAGCAAGCGGCCAAGCGAAAGCGUUAAGUAUUCCACCUGGGGAGUACCCCGGCAACGGUGAAACUCAAAGGAAUUGACGGGGGCCCGCACAAGCGGAAGAACAUGUGGUUUAAUUCGAUGAUACGCGAGGAACCUUACCCGGGCUUAAAUUGCAGAUGAAUUACGGUGAAAGCCGUAAGCCGCAAGGCAUCUGUGAAGGUGCUGCAUGGUUGUNGUCAGCUCGUGCCGUGAGGUGUCGGCUUAAGUGCCAUAACGAGCGCAACCCUUGUUGUCAGUUACUAACAGGUUCCGCUGAGGACUNUGACAAGACUGCCAUNGUAAGAUGUGAGGAAGGUGGGGAUGACGUCAAAUCAGCACGGCCCUUACGUCCGGGGCUACACACGUGUUACAAUGGGGGGGUACAGAGGGCCGCUACCACGCGAGUGGAUGCCAAUCCCAAAAACCUCUCUCAGUUCGGACUGGAGUCUGCAACCCGACUCCACGAAGCUGGAUUCGCUAGUAAUCGCGCAUCAGCCACGGCGCGGUGAAUACGUUCCCGGGCCUUGUACACACCGCCCGUCAAGCCAUGGGAGCCGGGGGUACCCUGAAGUGCGUAACCCGCGAGGGAGCGCCCUAGNAAA